rnacentral:rRNA from 1 species
CAAGAGCGUAUAUUAAAGUUGUUGCAGUUAAAAGCUCGUAGUUGGAUUUCUGGUACAAUGCGCCUGACCCGCGGCAGUAAUGCCUGUGAGUGUCGGUGCGCGUUUACCAUCCUUCUAGAAAACGUUUCUACCCUUUACUGGGCCGGACUCGCGAUCUAGAUCUUUUACUUUUGAAAAAUUAGAGUGUUCAAAGCAGGCGCUUCGCCUGAAUAAUGGUGCAUGGAAUAAUGGAAUAGGACCUCGGUUCUAUUUUGUUGGUUUUCGGAACUCGAGGUAAUGAUUAAGAGGGGACAGACGGGGCAUUUGUAUUCAAACGACAGAGGUGAAAUUCUUGGACCGUUUGAAGACAAACUACUGCGAAAGCAUUUGCCAAGAAUGUUUUCAUUAAUCAAGAACGAAAGUUAAAGGUUCGAAGAUGAUCAGAUACC